rnacentral:rRNA from 1 species
GAUGAACGCUGGCGGCGUGCCUAAUACAUGCGAGUCGAGCGAACAGACGAGGAGCUUGCUCCUCUGACGUUAGCGGCGGACGGGUGAGUAACACGUGGAUAACCUACCUAUAAGACUGGGAUAACUUCGGGAAACCGGAGCUAAUACCGGAUAAUAUAUUGAACCGCAUGGUUCAAUAGUGAAAGACGGUUUUGCUGUCACUUAUAGAUGGAUCCGCGCCGCAUUAGCUAGUUGGUAAGGUAACGGCUUACCAAGGCGACGAUGCGUAGCCGACCUGAGAGGGGGAUCGGCCACCCGGGGGCUGAGACCCGGCCCAGCCUCCUACGGGAGGCGCAAGUGGGGAAUCUUCCGAAAUGGGCGAAAGCCUGACGGAGCACCGCCGGGGGAGUGAGGAAGGUCUUCGGAUCGUAAAACUCUUUUAUUGGGGAAAAACAAAUGUGAAAGUAACUAUCCACGUCUGGACGGUACCUAAUAAGAAAGCCACGGCUAACUAGGGG